CGCAGCACGGAGGACCCUGGCCUGCCGACCUGGUCGGAUCAAGGUCCGGAAGGCCACAUUGGCCGCAUGCGCAGUGAAAGGAGCCGGAACCUGUGAGGGCCGCGCCCUGCUCCCCCCUCGGUCCGCAGGGCCUUGUGCUCCGGUGUGACGGGUGAGUAACGCGGGCAGGCCGCCGGGAGCACGGCAGUUCUGGGACUGAAGUGGCUUAAUUUGGGGGGAGACCACGUGAUGGAGUCAGCCAGACCUUGAAUAGGCCUGUGACAGCUAGCUGCUCGGUGAUCUUGGGCAGGUGCCUUCCGUGCCUUCAUCUAAAUUAUCUGGCUGCACAGCACAUGUUAAGGAAGUCACCUUGGUGGGUAUAAGGACAAGGUUUUCCGGAGGACGGGCUUUAGUCAUUCAGAUACUAUUUUGAAUCCUAGGUUUGUCACUUUUUCCAUUGAUAGACAACUUUCGUCUCCAGAGUGUCCCAGUAGAUGAAUUGGUGAUAAGUCCUGAUGCACAGGAUUUAGGUGAGUCUGAGGGCUACACAGUGUUGGGCCUGCCCUGUGACCUGGAUUACCCUGUGGCCCUUGUCGAAGCUGCAGCUGCUUCCACAUAGCUGCUGUGGUCAAAAAGGAGCCCAGAGUGACAGUUUUCCUUGACGGUCGCUGUUCUGUUUGCUGUAACUGAUCUGCAACAUUUCAGGAAAAGACAGCUCCCAUUGUACUUGCCAUUUCUCAGGUAUAGCCAGAGACCUUUAUUAGAGUUGACACAUUUCCAGAGGCCAGCAGAAAUGUUCCACUGAUGGGGUCAUGCAUACAGAGUUAACAGAAUAAGGCUUUUGAGAAGUAGCUUGCAGAGGCCAAGAACCAGCAUGGAGGGGUAGAUGGGGGUGGGUUAGAUAUCUGUACUGGGAAAUUCCCGUGGCAGGUGCUGCAGAUCUUGGUCGUGCUUUGGGUCAUUGCCCUGAAAAGCUUAUGGCAUCAGUACUUAGGACCAAAGGCUAGUCAAAAAACGUAGAUCUGAAGACCAAAUGAAGGGAACGAUUAAGAUCAUUCAGGACAAUUGUGUUCUCCUUUUAGCUGUGCCAGAUUGAAGAUUCCAGGAUGACUGAAGUUGACCUUUCUGGUGAGUGAAGACUGGGGUCAUGACAGUGAUGGAACACAGCAGCCUCAGGACCUGGUUGCCCCCAGGUUUUAGUGGCAGUGCCUGAUACUGAAGUAUCUGAAAAGACCAGCUUGUUGCUGGAGCCAUGCUUUAGAAUAAGGUAAAGUUGGAUGUUGAAGACAGCCUGACCCUCCGGUUCCCUUUCCCAUCAGAUCUGAACCUUGGUCUUGGUGGUCGUAAGAGGAGGAAUAGUAGUACUGAAGCUAUGCUCAUGGUGUCUGUUUAUAUAGCAUGUGGGCUAGUUUCAAACAAGGUUGAAUUCUCUUGGAACUUUUUGCCUCCUCCCCUGUAAAAUGGGAUAAUCUUAGGCUUAAAGGGAGGCUGGAUGUGAAACUGGGCAGCUGGUAUAGUGAUUGCUGACUAAUAUUUCUGUAUUUGGGAGGGGUUUAUCCAUAGCUUUCUUGACUCCUGAUCGAGUGUUCUUUUUUUUCCCUCCUAAGAUCUGUUACCAGUAAAGCUGUCGUCUUCUGCGAUUGUGGAUCUACAGAGUUGGGCGAGUUGAAUGUCUGCCAGAAGCUUUCACACAACUUCCUUGCAGCUUCCAUUAGUAUUUCACUGGUAUCACCCUAAGCAGUGUAGCCAGUAGAUAAUAAGGCUACUCAGGUCUGUGUGUAAAAGUCUUCUUUUUAAUAUAUCAUUUACAUCUGGCCUUGUGUGCUGUAUUUGUUGGCUCUUCAUAACCGUAGGACAAAAAAUAAAUGUUCACAGU